rnacentral:rRNA from 1 species
UACGGAGGAUCCAAGCGUUAUCCGGAAUCAUUGGGUUUAAAGGGUCCGUAGGCGGUUUUGUAAGUCAGUGGUGAAAGCCCAUCGCUCAACGGUGGAACGGCCAUUGAUACUGCAAGACUUGAAUUAUUAGGAAGUAACUAGAAUAUGUAGUGUAGCGGUGAAAUGCUUAGAGAUUACAUGGAAUACCAAUUGCGAAGGCAGGUUACUACGAGUGGAUUGACGCUGAUGGACGAAAGCGUGGGGAGCGAACAGG